rnacentral:sRNA from 25 species
CUAAACUAUUUUUAAUCAUUCACACAUAUCGUCACAUUCUCCGGGGUGCUCCUUAGCUUUCGCAAAGCUUUAGUGGGGUCGGCUGAAUGGGAUAUGUGGACGCCUAAC